AACUGGCCUGAAUAUACUGUGUUCCUUUGCUGAGGGGAGUUGGGGGGUGAGGGGGGGGGAGCCUAGAGGUCCGGUAUACGGCACAGCGUUCAAACAGACACGCCAUUCCAUAGAUGCCUUUAAAAAUCAGAUUAAAGUUUUCUAACGAGGAUGUGUGGGGUUUUGUUUCUGGACUCCAACUGGGCAAUCUCGGAGAAUGGGAUUGUCCCAGAGGAGACGCGGGGAGAACAUUAGCGUCAGCUGUCCAUUUAAAGCAGCGGGUGUGUGGUGAGAAGAGGAGGGGUGCUGGAGUCUUCAAGGCCAGGAGGUGCUGGAGGAGGAGAGGCUGCGGGAACCUCUGUGCAUCGCCUCUGCAGACAGCAUGCUGGGAACCAGGAGAAACAGCGGCUGCUUAAGUCCUUGCCUAGGAUGGUCCAGCAACUCCAGACGUGCUGUCGCCUUCUCACCUCCUCUGCUGAGAGCUACAGAUCCUUCGUUGACAGACAGGGAGGGAAAUGUGCAAAUGGAGUGGACAGGAGCAAUUUGUCCUCUGAGAGGCUCCAUCCAGCAGCUGACUCAGACAGAUGCAGACAUCCACAGCCAAACAGAGGAUGGAGCUUGGGGACUCCUAUGGAAGGAUAGGAGGAAGAAUUGUGGGCUCCGAAGGGGACAGGAACUCCACAGGAAGACCAACAGAGUCAACUAACCUUUACCCUUGGGAUUUCAGCGUCUGAACCACCAACCAAAGAACAUAGACAGGCUGGACCUAGGCCUCCCCACAUAUAUGUACAGUUGGACCUCCACGUGGGUCCUCAACAACUGGACCGAGGGCUAUC
rnacentral:lncRNA from 1 species